rnacentral:rRNA from 1 species
CCUACGGGAGGCAGCAGUAGGGAAUCUUCCACAAUGGACGAAAGUCUGAUGGAGCAACGCCGCGUGAGUGAAGAAGGUUCUCGGAUCGUAAAACUCUGUUGUGAGGGGAGAACAAGUACCGGAGUAACUGCCGGUACCUUGACGGUACCUCAUUAGAAAGCCACGGCUAACUACGUGCCAGCAGCCGCGGUAAUACGUAGGUGGCAAGCGUUGUCCGGAAUCAUUGGGCGUAAAGCGCGCGCAGGCGGCCCCUUAAGUCUGAUGUGAAAGCCCACGGCUCAACCGUGGAGGGUCAUUGGAAACUGGGGGACUUGAGUGCAGAAGAGGAAAGCGGAAUUCCAAGUGUAGCGGUGAAAUGCGUAGAGAUUUGGAGGAACACCAGUGGCGAAGGCGGCUUUCUGGUCUGUAACUGACGCUGAGGCGCGAAAGCGUGGGGAGCAAACAGGAUUAGAUACCCUGGUAGUCCACGCCGUAAACGAUGAGUGCUAAGUGUUAGGGGGUUUCCGCCCCUUAGUGCUGCAGCUAACGCAUUAAGCACUCCGCCUGGGGAGUACGGUCGCAAGACUGAAACUCAAAGGAAUUGACGG